GAUUUGCGUUAACGAUUGCAGCGGCAUCCUUUUUUUUAAAUCAAAUAAACGCUCGUAUUUGAUUUAAAAAAAAGAUAUAGCGUAAAGCGUGGUCGAUG
rnacentral:sRNA from 1 species